GCCCCUGACAAGAGUGAAAUGGGUAAACAAACAACGGAGAGGAAGAUAGAGGAAGAGCGAAAGAGGAGCAGUAGCAUCGAGGACGAACAGGCCGCGGUGUUCCAAGAGGAACGAGAUCAGCUGCGUGCGGACGCAAAGAGACGGAUUGAGGAGAUCCAAAUCCGAAACAUGCGGGCGUAUAACAGGAGACGCAAGAAUGCGACAGCAUACAGGACGGGAGAUCUAGUGGCAAUCGAGAGGAUGCAGAGGGGUCCCGGGCUAAAGCUGCAUCCGAAGUUUCUUGGACCGUAUCGGGUGAUAAAUGUCCUGCGAAAUGACCGAUACAUAGUGCAGCGAGAGGGGGAGCACGAAGGGCCACGUACAACUUCCACGGCAGCCGAUCACAUGAAAUGGUGGAAUGCUGACGAUAGUGAUGUAAGUGCGAGCGGCGCUGAUGAGCACAUCUGAGGGCAGAUGUGAUUGUCAGGAAAGGCCGAUUGUAAUAUCGUAGAAUAGCUUUGAUUGGAGAUCGGCUGAAAAUAGAAAAACCGUGUACGCCGUCUUUUUGUGGUUCGUUUACAUUUAAGAGUGCCUACGUGACUAAAGGCACGUAGUUGGUAGUUCUUACAUAGGUAUGAGGGAAACAAUAGACAACGUUAGAAGAAGGACGGUUUCGCUAUUCAAGGCGAACCGAAAAGUGUGCGUGUUGCGAGAAUCAGAGUUGAUCGAGACGUCGAAGCAUAGAGUCGUUAGAAUUGAGUUGCGAGUGUUGUCGAGUGUUAGAGUUGCUAGUGAGAGAGAGAGAGAGAGAGUUACCAAAUAGUUGUCAAGUUAUUUGUUGUAAAUACGAGCGUUGCAUUUAGUUUUCCUGUUAAUCAAACAUCGUUUCUCUGUCUAACUAAUAUCUGUAUUUUCAAUCCAUUAUUAAUAAAUUAUAAUUAAUCGGACAAAAUUACACCUUUAAUAUAUUCCGAUAUUACAUUACCGUUAUGUAAUAUUUAUCAUGCUUAUUUUGUACGUAAAACGAAUCGUUGGAAUAUUCCCGAAGCUAACGAAGCAUUUCCCAAAAGUUAAACCGAAGAAAUUAACGCGAAUAUUAAACCGAAGAAAUUAACGCGAAUAGUUAAGUGAAAUUUUUCCAUUAACUUGCUGACCAACCGGCAAAUAAAAAAUCAUAAAAAUUGUUUCAAUGUGUUGAGGUCACGCAUAACUUCUUUUUUCAUUGACGAUUACCAAACAGGUAAAAUUUCGAAAUUGUACGAAGGCCACGUGACCAGAUCGUAUUGGAAUUUGAAGUGCAUGGAAAAAGACAACUCGAAGUACAAACCUUGAGCUGUACUACUCGAAGUACAAACGUGAACUAAUGGAUGCAGAAAAGCAAUUAACGCCAAACAUCCGAACAGCAUCUUGGAGCCCGUCAUUGUUCUGAAAUAAAAGAAGUGACGAAUUAAAAAGACGCAGGACUAAUAAUAAUAAAGGAAACUUAGUUCGUAUUAUAAAUUGAAUUUACAUCAGAAAAGAAGCACGAUCAAGCGAAACAGAUCGUAGAAAUGACAAAUAUCAUCGAUAUACGUUUCAGUGUAAUUUCACUUUUGAAAAUUAUUUAGUUUAAUACGAUCGUAUUCAUCGCUCUGAAACUUUCAUUGUGCUGCAAUUUGUGCUGCGUCUUUUUAAUUUCUCUAUCUUUCUGUGUUUUCGGAAAAAUUACUUGAAAGAUUAAGAAUUGCUUGCCUUAUUUUAUUUUCGAUUAGUUAGGAUUUGAUUAUUCCAGGUAAGGUUUAUUAUUUAUAACAGGUUUUAUCACUUGUUUAUUAUUUAGGAGUUUGUUAUUUUAGGAUUAGUACCUUUUAGGAUUUCUUAUCCUUCGAGUUUCUGUUUCAGAUAUCUAGGUCUAUUUCAAGAUGUUUUAUUACAUUAGGAUUAUUUAUUCGAUUAAGAUAAUUUAAGAGUUUCACAAUGUACAAAGAAAUAAUCGCGUGAAAUUUAGAUUUAUGCUUUAAACGUAUUAAACACGCGGUAAUUUCAAUGUCUAUAGCCUCGAACGUGUUCUGAUUAGUUGUGUCAUUGUCUGUGACAUUGAAAUCACAAAAAUCCAUUGCAAGUGUGCUGUCAUGCAAUGUGGAUGUAAUUGGGUUUUUUGGGUAUUUCCUGUAUCAUCUGAUUUGUACAGUACUAUUUUAACGCAAGGACAGGAAAGUUAUUAUAUAUUUCCCGUCCAUUAUUUGAAUCGUUGUGAAGUGUAACGAAUUAUAUUCGAUUCGAGGAGAUGUUAAUGAAUUACCCAUUUCAUAUGUAAUUACAUGGAAAUAAAAAUCAUUGCAAAAAUAAUUGAUCUAAUGACAA